rnacentral:rRNA from 6 species
AAAGAAACCAACCGGGAUUGCCUCAGUAACGGCGAGUGAAGCGGCAAGAGCUCAAAUUUGAAAGCUGGCUCCUUCGGGGUCCGCAUUGUAAUUUGCAGAGGAUGCUUCGGGUGCAGCCCCCGUCUAAGUGCCCUGGAACGGGCCGUCAUAGAGGGUGAGAAUCCCGUAUGGGGCGGGGUGUCUGCGUCCGUGUGAAGCUCCUUCGACGAGUCGAGUUGUUUGGGAAUGCAGCUCUAAAUGGGUGGUAAAUUUCAUCUAAAGCUAAAUACUGGCCGGAGACCGAUAGCGCACAAGUAGAGUGAUCGAAAGAUGAAAAGCACUUUGAAAAGAGAGUUAAACAGCACGUGAAAUUGUUGAAAGGGAAGCGCUUGCAACCAGACUCGCUCGCGGGGUUCAGCCGGGCUUCGGCCCGGUGUACUUCCCCGCGGGCGGGCCAGCGUCGGUUUGGGCGGCCGGUCAAAGGCCUCCGGAAUGUAGCGCCCUUCGGGGCGCCUUAUAGCCGGGGGUGCAAUGCGGCCAGCCUGGACCGAGGAACGCGCUUCGGCACGGACGCUGGCAUAAUGGUUGUAAACGAC